GACGAACGCUGGCGGCGUGCUUAACACAUGCAAGUCGAACGGAAAGGCCCUGCUUUUGCGGGGUGCUCGAGUGGCGAACGGGUGAGUAACACGUGAGUAACCUGCCCUUGACUUUGGGUUAACUUCAGGAAACUGGGGCUAAUACCGGAUAGGAGCUCCUGCAGCAUGGUGGGGGUUGGAAAGUUUCGGCGGUUGGGGAUGGACUCGCGGCUUAUCAGCUUGUUGGUGGGGUAGUGGCUUACCAAGGCUUUGACGGGUAGCCGGCCUGAGAGGGUGACCGGCCACAUUGGGACUGAGAUACGGCCCAGACUCCUACGGGAGGCAGCAGUGGGGAAUAUUGCACAAUGGGCGGAAGCCUGAUGCAGCAACGCCGCGUGCGGGAUGACGGCCUUCGGGUUGUAAACCGCUUUCGCCUGUGAUGAAGCGUGAGUGACGGUAAUGGGUAAAGAAGCACCGGCUAACUACGUGCCAGCAGCCGCGGUGAUACGUAGGGUGCGAGCGUUGUCCGGAUUUAUUGGGCGUAAAGGGCUCGUAGGUGGUUGAUCGCGUCGGAAGUGUAAUCUUGGGGCUUAACCCUGAGCGUGCUUUCGAUACGGGUUGACUUGAGGAAGGUAGGGGAGAAUGGAAUUCCUGGUGGAGCGGUGGAAUGCGCAGAUAUCAGGAGGAACACCAGUGGCGAAGGCGGUUCUCUGGGCCUUUCCUGACGCUGAGGAGCGAAAGCGUGGGGAGCGAACAGGCUUAGAUACCCUGGUAGUCCACGCUGUAAACGGUGGGUACUAGGUGUGGGGUCCAUUCCACGGGUUCCGUGCCGUAGCUAACGCUUUAAGUACCCCGCCUGGGGAGUACGGCCGCAAGGCUAAAACUCAAAGGAAUUGACGGGGCCCCGCACAAGCGGCGGAGCAUGCGGAUUAAUUCGAUGCAACGCGUAGAACCUUACCUGGGUUUGACAUGGAUCGGGAGUGCUCAGAGAUGGGUGUGCCUCUUUUGGGGUCGGUUCACAGGUGGUGCAUGGCUGUCGUCAGCUCGUGUCGUGAGAUGUUGGGUUAAGUCCCGCAACGAGCGCAACCCUUGUUCACUGUUGCCAGCACGUUAUGGUGGGGACUCAGUGGAGACCGCCGGGGUCAACUCGGAGGAAGGUGGGGAUGACGUCAAGUCAUCAUGCCCCUUAUGUCCAGGGCUUCACGCAUGCUACAAUGGCUGGUACAGAGAGUGGCGAGCCUGUGAGGGUGAGCGAAUCUCGGAAAGCCGGUCUCAGUUCGGAUUGGGGUCUGCAACUCGACCUCAUGAAGUCGGAGUCGCUAGUAAUCGCAGAUCAGCAACGCUGCGGUGAAUACGUUCCCGGGGCU
rnacentral:rRNA from 1 species